GUGAGGAAUAUUGGUCAAUGGGCGGGAGCCUGAACCAGCCAAGUCGCGUGAAGGAAGAAGGAUCUAUGGUUCGUAAACUUCUUUUGCAGGGGAAUAAAGUGCGGGACGUGUCCUGUUUUGUAUGUACCCUGAGAAUAAGGAUCGGCUAACUCCGUGCCAGCAGCCGCGGUAAUACGGAGGAUCCGAGCGUUAUCCGGAUUUAUUGGGUUUAAAGGGUGCGUAGGUGGUAUGAUAAGUCAGCGGUGAAAGUUUGCAGCUUAACUGUAAAAAUGCCGUUGAAACUGUCGGACUUGAGUGUAAAUGAGGUAGGCGGAAUGCGUGGUGUAGCGGUGAAAUGCAUAGAUAUCACGCAGAACUCCGAUUGCGAAGGCAGCUUACUAAGCUACAACUGACACUGAAGCACGAAAGCGUGGGGAUCAAACAGGAUUAGAAACCCCAGUAGUCC
rnacentral:rRNA from 1 species